GCACACGCACGCUGUAAUUUGUCUGUCAUUUCUCUCAAAGUUCAUUGGCAUUGUCAGGUCGUGUUUAACUCAGUAGGGAAAUAUGGAUUUCAUCCCUGGUGAUUUCAAAGAGCAUUUUGAUAGCCUUAAGGUUUCCUGUUAAACCCACAGCCUCCCAUCUCCUCCCCACUCCCCCUCUUGAAUUACUGCACCUCUUCGUGGGACUUCAUCAUGCAAACGACCCAAAAAUGAAUUGUGAAGGAUUCUUUCAAACUGUGAUUGUUGUCUUAAAGGAUUAAAUGCCUGGAAGACCUGGAAGCUCCCUGAAUGUGUGUGUGAGGUGUCUCUGUUGACAGAGCCAAAAAAUCACCUGUUUCCUCAGUGCAAGACAUUCUGAGUAUAACAGAGAACUCUGCUUCUGCACUGGGGAGAAGUAUGACAGGAGUACUUUGACCUUCUUCUUCCCCUUGUAAUUUUUAUGGAAGAGCAGGAAACUCUCUUUACAGGACUGUGACUGAUGGCCUCAUUCAGUACCCGCUGACAGAGAAUCUCAACUUUGUCUCGAGUUGCCCAGGCCAACAAUGGACCAAACUUUACACAUCUGCUGCUACAAACUUCUGUUUGAGACCAGUAUCUGGAGAACAUUUAGUUUCCUGUGCUCAACCAUUUAGUUAAACGUGUUUACAGACUCCAUUAACAGAAAUCAAAGCUGACAGAUUAAAAGGAAUUUCAUUAAUUUAGGAGGUGCUCCAAGCUGAAAUAGAGCUCAGUGCUGAUCCUCCAACAUUCCAACCCGAGUUAAACAAAGUCUGUGUGGGUCUGGGUGAGUAAAUAUUCCAUUGCCAUGUCAAAAUUAAGGUUGCUUACAUCAAAACACUCUUUAUAAUUUAUUUUUCACUCUUCUACCAUUUUGUGAGUUUUUAACUCUGAUUUCAUGUGCACAUUCACAAGAAGUUCAGAACAGUAUCAUUUUACCUGAUAAGUGCAAAGGCAAUUUUUAUAAGCAAAGCUCAGUGGUGAUAAGGAAACCUGCAUCCCUUUGUGAUACAAAUAACAUAAUUGCAGCAAAAUGCUGCUUUUAAGAAUCUUGCCUUCAGCUGCAGCCCUGUGUGACACCCACCAGAGUUGCACACACAUUCUGUUCCUGGAAAAAAAAAGAGAGGAGACUUGUGUGUCUGUUGGUUACAACUUGAAGACAACUUUUAAUCAUCAGGAGUCUUUCGAAGCGCAGCCUGGUUAUCGAGUCGGAGGAGGGGAAGAAUGAACUGACCUUUUCUGCUGACUGCCCCAAAUUGACUUUGCCAAACUCCAAGAGUAGAUUAUCAUUGCGUGUUUCUGUCUCAUUGUUUGGACUAGACAGAGCUGGCUGUGGAAUAUGGGAUGUGCCAGAGUGGAUUAUUGUUAAACUUCAAUCUCCAGCGCUGGUUUCAGCUGGAACACGCAGUGCUCUUUGAUAGUGGUGCCUCAUGUACCCACUGCUGCUCUGAUGAGAUGGGAGAGCAUCCCACACUGACAGGCUGUCAGGGCAUCACUGCAGUGGGAGGAGGAAGGUCUGGGAUGAUGUGACAGGUCUGAGGACAAGCAGGACCCACGUGGAACCAUCGCAGGGCAGAAGCAGAUGCCACAGGUGGGAUGUUGUAACUGGAUCUUUCCCCCUGGGCUCCUCCAACACCUCAGCAAAGCAUUGCAGGGCUUGUCUGGGGGAUGUUUGUUCUUCACAUCUCCAUCAUUCUGCUCUUACUUUUCCAAAGUUCAGGAGUGGAAAGUCAUCAAAGCAACUCAAUAACAAUUCUGUAGCUGUUUUGUUAAUGCCUCCAUAAUUAGCAUUUGUUCUUAGAGAUGGAACAGCUCCCUGUAAUCCAGGCAUAAGUAUUCCAUUUUAAAUAGGCACCUGAAUUCCAGUGGUGAGUGGGGUAAACUUUAAUUACGUUUCAGAAGUGCAUUUCCCUCAUAAUCCCAUACUUUUUAUUACACACAAAGUAACAUUUCUGCUCAUUUUGGCUCGAUUUCCUUCUUUGCCUUAGUCUGUCUAAAGACAAAAAAUGUGAAGAAUUAUAGGAAAGCCUGUUGACUUAGACAAAUUAAACAUGUACAGAAUAAUUCAUGCACAGGGUUUAAUUUUUUCCCUAAUUCUUGGUUAAGAUAUAAUAAUUUCCUGAAUCAAAGUCUUAAGCUUCCUAGUGCUAUCUAUUAAUGAAAACAAAUGCUAGUGUCAUACGAAAAUUAUUAUUUGACAUAUUACAAAGCUUAAUCUCUGUUGUUAUUUCAAGCUCAUGUUGUUGAGCUUCAGUUAUUCCUGAAAAAAUACAUAUAAUUUAAUUUGAUGUAGGUCUCCAUUGAUGGAAUCCACAGACUUUGCUUUCCAACCAGGAUUAACCUGCUGAUCUCAUUUUUCUGCGGAGGAAACCUGAGCAUGUGGCUGAGUCAAUGCAGAAAUGGGGCCUGACACUUUAAUUCUGAAGGUGCAUCACUGAGAACUCAGUCUGACCCAGGACUCCAACAGGGAGAAAAACACACCUAUAGAACAGCUCAUGGAAAGGAAGAAAAUAGCAAUUAAAUGUGAUAUUCUAGUGGAUUAACAUAUGGAUGAAGCAAAUAAAUCUGAAAUUAUAUAUAUUAUCCUUUUCAGAAAUAUUAAUUAAGUGCUGAUGAACUUAAUUAAGGUCAUGAAGGGAUUACAUAAAUCAACCAUUGUUCUUAGGGCGUUGCACCCUUGACAUUCCCUGUGUAGGGAAUCAUGGAAUAUUGGAAUAUCCAACUCUUUUCCUGUCUUCCUUCCUCCUCCUUUAGUUUCUCCCUUUGGAAAUUUGUACACCUUGCAAAAGUAACCCUGUCCCCCAAUAUACCUGGGCAAAUUUAUGGGCUACUUUUUUAAAUCCAGGGGAAAUAUUCCCAUUCCCAUGAGGAAAAUGAUGCUCAACACAGGGAGAUGAGGCAACUCCACUUUCUUCUUUAAGAACUACCUGGAAAUGCUGUUUUCUUCUGAAUCCUGAUCUUCUUGCCCUUUCCCAGUCGUGUUUGCAAAUGGCAGAGCCUUCAUGUCCCUAAAUCUUGGGAAAAUUCCCUUUAAAGAGGUCAUCUGAAGUCACUGGCAAAACCCUGAUAUUUGCUUUUCACCCUGAAAUACGGUAUUUAUUGACUUUCCCUUCUGAAAACCAGACAACUUUGUUGUCAUUAUUUGUAAUUAAUAAUGCUUGGCAUGUUUUGCUUCACAUUUUACUGCCCGUAUUUAUAGAACUUAAUUAAAUUCAACAUCACAUUAGGAAUACAUAUAUAUCAAAUCCCCGAGUCAUGGUUCUUCUUCUUUUUUUUUUUUUUUUUAUUCCUCCUCACAUACAUUUAGUAAAAGAAACAUUUCCAAAAUUCCCAUCUGUUCCGUACGUAAAUCCAGUUAAUUAUACACUGAUUGACAAGGCUAUAAAAGGACAUUUUUUGGGAGAUGAUAGGUUUAGAGGCUGCACUAAAAAUUACCACGUGUAGGCAUUCUGCAGUUUUCCCAUGGAAACUCUGUGUAGGAGUCAGGGAGAUACAAAUAAUACAACAAAAUGUGCUCUGACUGUCACCCCUGUGGUGUCACAAAGGUUUUGGGUUUUUUUGGCACGUAUUUACCCGUCCUGGAGGAAAUGUGGGUGUUGGGAGGGAUCAACUGGCAAUUGGGUACCUUGAACACAGCACUGAUGGCUGCAAAAAUAAAUUCUAGACAUUAAAACCUUGGAAUUGAACCUUAAAUGCUGGACUUUUGUCUAAAUAUCCGUGAUGAAAGAUGAGCCACUCGGUUUCUUUUUUAAUAAAUCACCCACUUUUAAAAAUGG